rfam:Lupinus angustifolius cultivar Tanjil contig_4448, whole genome shotgun sequence.
AACCCAUGGUUGGGACAUUUUCUCAGCAACAUCUGGAAACGCUCCAAUGCCUAAUAAAAAGCUUCAUCAUCACCUUGUCUGAAUGUUGAGAUUUCAAACUUUGCAU